UGCCAGCCGCCGCGGUAAUACGUAGGGAGCAAGCGUUGUCCGGAAUUAUUGGGCGUAAAGGGUGCGUAGGCGGUUUAUCAAGUCAGAUGUGAAAUCCCCGGGCUUAACUCGGGAGUUGCAUUUGAAACUGAUGAACUUGAGUAAAGAAGAGGUAAGUGGAAUUCCUAGUGUAGCGGUGGAAUGCGUAGAUAUUAGGAGGAACACCAGUGGCGAAGGCGACUUACUGGUCUUUUACUGACGCUGAGGCACGAAAGCGUGGGGAGCAAACAGGAUUAGAUA
rnacentral:rRNA from 1 species